UGGGUUUGACAUGCACCAGACAUCCCUAGAGAUACGGCCCCCCUUGUGGUCGGUAUACAGGUGGUGCAUGGCUGUCGUCAGCUCGUGUCGUGAGAUGUUGGGUUAAGUCCCGCAACGAGCGCAACCCUUGUCCUGUGUUGCCAGCGCGUAAUGGCGGGGACUCGCAGGAGACUGCCGGGGUCAACUCGGAGGAAGGUGGGGAUGACGUAGCUAAGCCUUC
rnacentral:misc_RNA from 1 species